GGGUUGUGAGGUUAAGCGACUAAGCGUACACGGUGGAUGCCCUGGCAGUCAGAGGCGAUGAAGGACGUGCUAAUCUGCGAAAAGCGUCGGUAAGGUGAUAUGAACCGUUACAGCCGGCGAUGUCCGAAUGGGGAAACCCAGUGUGAUUCGUCACACUAUCGUUAACUGAAUACAUAGGUUAACGAGGCGAACCGGGGGAACUGAAACAUCUAAGUACCCCGAGGAAAAGAAAUCAACCGAGAUUCCCCCAGUAGCGGCGAGCGAACGGGGAGCAGCCCAGAGUCUGAAUCAGCUUGUGUGUUAGUGGAACGGUCUGGAAAGUCCGACGGUACAGGGUGAUAGUCCCGUACACCAAAAUGCACAGGUUGUGAACUCGAAGAGUAGGGCGGGACACGUGGUAUCCUGUCUGAAUAUGGGGGGACCAUCCUCCAAGGCUAAAUACUCCUGACUGACCGAUAGUGAACCAGUACCGUGAGGGAAAGGCGAAAAGAACCCCGGCGAGGGGAGUGAAAAAGAACCUGAAACCGUGUACGUACAAGCAGUGGGAGCACCUUCGGGUGUGACUGCGUACCUUUUGUAUAAUGGGUCAGCGACUUAUAUUCUGUAGCAAGGUUAACCGUAUAGGGGAGCCGCAGGGAAACCGAGUCUUAACUGGGCGUUAAGUUGCAGGGUAUAGACCCGAAACCCGGUGAUCUAGCCAUGGGCAGGUUGAAGGUUGGGUAACACUAACUGGAGGACCGAACCGACUAAUGUUGAAAAAUUAGCGGAUGACUUGUGGCUGGGGGUGAAAGGCCAAUCAAACCGGGAGAUAGCUGGUUCUCCCCGAAAGCUAUUUAGGUAGCGCCUCGUGAAUUCAUCUUCGGGGGUAGAGCACUGUUUCGGCUAGGGGGUCAUCCCGACUUACCAACCCGAUGCAAACUACGAAUACCGAAGAAUGUUAUCACGGGAGACACACGGCGGGUGCUAACGUCCGUCGUGAAGAGGGAAACAACCCAGACCGCCAGCUAAGGUCCCAAAGUCAUGGUUAAGUGGGAAACGAUGUGGGAAGGCACAGACAGCCAGGAUGUUGGCUUAGAAGCAGCCAUCAUUUAAAGAAAGCGUAAUAGCUCACUGGUCGAGUCGGCCUGCGCGGAAGAUGUAACGGGGCUAAACCAUGCACCGAAGCUGCGGCAGCGACACUAUGUGUUGUUGGGUAGGGGAGCGUUCUGUAAGCCUGCGAAGGUGUGCUGUGAGGCAUGCUGGAGGUAUCAGAAGUGCGAAUGCUGACAUAAGUAACGAUAAAGCGGGUGAAAAGCCCGCUCGCCGGAAGACCAAGGGUUCCUGUCCAACGUUAAUCGGGGCAGGGUGAGUCGACCCCUAAGGCGAGGCCGAAAGGCGUAGUCGAUGGGAAACAGGUUAAUAUUCCUGUACUUGGUGUUACUGCGAAGGGGGGACGGAGAAGGCUAUGUUAGCCGGGCGACGGUUGUCCCGGUUUAAGCAUGUAGGCUGGUUGUCCAGGCAAAUCCGGAUAAUCAAGGCUGAGGUGUGAUGACGAGGCACUACGGUGCUGAAGUAACAAAUGCCCUGCUUCCAGGAAAAGCCUCUAAGCAUCAGGUAACAUUAAAUCGUACCCCAAACCGACACAGGUGGUCAGGUAGAGAAUACCAAGGCGCUUGAGAGAACUCGGGUGAAGGAACUAGGCAAAAUGGUGCCGUAACUUCGGGAGAAGGCACGCUGGUGUGUAGGUGAAGUCCCUGCGGAUGGAGCUGAGACCAGUCGAAGAUACCAGCUGGCUGCAACUGUUUAUUAAAAACACAGCACUGUGCAAACACGAAAGUGGACGUAUACGGUGUGACGCCUGCCCGGUGCCGGAAGGUUAAUUGAUGGGGUUAUCCGUAAGGAGAAGCUCUUGAUCGAAGCCCCGGUAAACGGCGGCCGUAACUAUAACGGUCCUAAGGUAGCGAAAUUCCUUGUCGGGUAAGUUCCGACCUGCACGAAUGGCGUAAUGAUGGCCAGGCUGUCUCCACCCGAGACUCAGUGAAAUUGAACUCGCUGUGAAGAUGCAGUGUACCCGCGGCAAGACGGAAAGACCCCGUGAACCUUUACUAUAGCUUGACACUGAACAUUGAGCCUUGAUGUGUAGGAUAGGUGGGAGGCUUUGAAGCGUGGACGCCAGUCUGCGUGGAGCCAACCUUGAAAUACCACCCUUUAAUGUUUGAUGUUCUAACGUUGGCCCCUUACCGGGGUUGCGGACAGUGUCUGGUGGGUAGUUUGACUGGGGCGGUCUCCUCCCAAAGCGUAACGGAGGAGCACGAAGGUUAGCUAAUCCUGGUCGGACAUCAGGAGGUUAGUGCAAUGGCAUAAGCUAGCUUGACUGCGAGCGUGACGGCGCGAGCAGGUGCGAAAGCAGGUCAUAGUGAUCCGGUGGUUCUAAAUGGAAGGGCCAUCGCUCAACGGAUAAAAGGUACUCCGGGGAUAACAGGCUGAUACCGCCCAAGAGUUCAUAUCGACGGCGGUGUUUGGCACCUCGAUGUCGGCUCAUCACAUCCUGGGGCUGAAGUAGGUCCCAAGGGUAUGGCUGUUCGCCAUUUAAAGUGGUACGCGAGCUGGGUUUAGAACGUCGUGAGACAGUUCGGUCCCUAUCUGCCGUGGGCGCUGGAGAAUUGAGGGGGGCUGCUCCUAGUACGAGAGGACCGGAGUGGACGCAUCACUGGUGUUCGGGUUGUCAUGCCAAUGGCACUGCCCGGUAGCUAAAUGCGGAAGAGAUAAGUGCUGAAAGCAUCUAAGCACGAAACUUGCCCCGAGAUGAGUUCUCCCUGAGACUUUAAGUCUCCUGAAGGAACGUUAAAGACGAUGACGUUGAUAGGCCGGGUGUGUAAGCGCAGCGAUGCGUUGAGCUAACCGGUACUAAUGAACCGUGAGGCUUAACCUUACAACGCCGAAG
rnacentral:rRNA from 1 species